AGCACAGACAUGAAGGCUCCCUCUCAGCUUUUGGUGUUCUUGCUGCUCUGGAUCCCCGGCAUGAAAUGUGACAUCCAGAUGACCCAAUCUUCAUCCUUGUCUGCAUCUCUAGGAGACAGAGUCACCAUUACAUGCAAAGCAAGUGGAGGCAUUAGUAAAUGGUUAGCCUGGUAUCAGCAGAAACCAGGCAACUCUCCUAAACUGCUCAUAUAUAAUGCAGCAAACCUUGAAACUGGGAUUCCUUCAAGGUUCAGUGGCAGUGGGUCUGGGACAGAUUUUACCCUCACCAUUAACAAUCUGCAGCCUGAAGAUGCUGCUACUUAUUACUGUCAACAGUAUAGUAGUACUCCUCCCACAGUGAUGCAAGCCAUGACAUAA